GAUGAACGCUGGCGGCGUGCCUAAUACAUGCCAGUCGAGCGCUGAGAUAUGGUGCUUGUACCUACGACAUUAGCGGCGAACGGGUGAGUAACACGUGGGUAACCUGCCUUUGAGCGGGGGACAACUUCUGGAAACGAAUGCUAAUACCGCAUAACAUCUUUAAACACAUGUUUCAAGUUUGAAAGAUGCAAUUGCAUCACCCAAUGAAGAUCUCGCGUUGUAUUAGCUAGGUGGUGAGGGAAAGGCUCACCCAAGGCAUGAUACAUAGCCGAACUGAGAAGGUGGUCGGCCAACUUGGGACUGGGAAAAGGCCCCAACCCCUAAGGGAGGGAGCAGGAGGGAAACUUCGGGCAUGGGCGAAAGGCUGGACGAGGAAAGCCGGCGGAGGGAAGGAGGUUCUCGGAUCGGAAAAAUCCGUUGAUAGGGGAGAAAGUUGGUGGGAGUGAACUGCGCACAAAGUGACGGUAACUGAUCAGAAAGCGACGGCUAACUACGUG
rnacentral:rRNA from 1 species